GCCGCGGUAGCUCAGCCUGGCCAGAGCGUUGCCCUGGUAAGGCAAAGGUCCCGGGUUCAAAUCCCGGCCGCGGCU
rnacentral:tRNA from 5 species